UCAGUAAAAAAAUUAUUUAUUUUUAAUUUCCAAAAUUAAUAUUUUGCUUUAAAUUAUUUACUG
rnacentral:tRNA from 1 species